GGUCAGUGAGCAAUUUCAUCACGCUCCUCAGAAUAGUGUGCAACUUAAAACUGAUGAAUUGUUUAUUUCUGGAAUUUUCCAUUUAAUAUUUUCGGAUUGCAGUUGACCACGGUAACUGAAACUUCAAAAG